rfam:Dipodomys ordii contig_51679, whole genome shotgun sequence.
GGUGGCUCAGUGGUAGAGCGCUUGACUGGCAUGCAUGAGGCCUGAGGUUCGAUUCCUCAGCACCA